CACGUAAGGUGCGAGCGUUGUUCGGAAUUAUUGGGCGUAAAGGGCAUGUAGGCGGCUGAGUAAGUCGGGCGUGAAAUCACGGGGCCCAACCCCGUGGCCGCGCCCGAUACUGCACAGCUUGAGUCAGCGAGGCGUGGCCGGAAUUCCUGGUGUAGGGGUGAAAUCUGUAGAUAUCAGGAAGAACACCGGUGGCGAAGGCAGGCCGCGAGCGCAUGACUGACGCUGAGGUGCGAAGGUGCGGGGAGCGAAC
rnacentral:rRNA from 1 species